rfam:Providencia rettgeri Dmel1 chromosome, whole genome shotgun sequence.
ACUUCCUAAGCCGGAACGAAAAGUUACAGAGUUUAGUUACUUUGAAACUUUUGGCUUUGUGGUUGUGAUGUUGUGUUUGCAAGUUGUCUGGUUGAACCAGACCUUUGUAGCUUUAGCUACUGUUUUUUCACUUCCUGUACAUUUACCCUGUCUGUCCAUAGUGAUUUUAUAUAGUGCACCGCCAACGCGCGGUGCUUUUUUUA